UGGGGAAUUUUGGACAAUGGGCGCAAGCCUGAUCCAGCCAUGCCGCGUGCGGGAAGAAGGCCUUCGGGUUGUAAACCGCUUUUGUCAGGGAAGAAAUCUUCUGAGUUAAUACCUCGGGAGGAUGACGGUACCUGAAGAAUAAGCACCGGCUAACUACGUGCCAGCAGCCGCGGUAAUACGUAGGGUGCAAGCGUUAAUCGGAAUUACUGGGCGUAAAGCGUGCGCAGGCGGUUUUGUAAGACAGAGGUGAAAUCCCCGGGCUCAACCUGGGAACUGCCUUUGUGACUGCAAGGCUUGAGUGCGGCAGAGGGGGAUGGAAUUCCGCGUGUAGCAGUGAAAUGCGUAGAUAUGCGGAGGAACACCGAUGGCGAAGGCAAUCCCCUGGGCCUGCACUGACGCUCAUGCACGAAAGCGUGGGGAGCAAACAGGAUUAGAUAGCCCUGGUAGUCCACGCCCUAAACGAUGUCAACUGGUUGUUGGGAAGGUUCCUUCUCAGUAACGUAGCUAACGCGUGAAGUUGACCGCCUGGGGAGUACGGCCGCAAGGUUGAAACUCAAAGGAAUUGACGGGGG
rnacentral:rRNA from 1 species